rnacentral:rRNA from 1 species
UACGUAGGGUGCAAGCGUUUAAUCGGAAUUACUGGGCGUAAAGCGUGCGCAGGCGGUUUUGUAAGUCUGUCGUGAAAUCCCCGGGCUUAACCUGGGAAUGGCGAUGGAGACUGCAAGGCUAGAAUCUGGCAGAGGGGGGUAGAAUUCCACGUGUAGCAGUGAAAUGCGUAGAGAUGUGGAGGAACACCGAUGGCGAAGGCAGCCCCCUGGGCUAAGAUUGACGCUCAUGCACGAAAGCGUGGGGAGCAAACAGG